rnacentral:pre_miRNA from 1 species
AGUAGAGUUGCUGAGUCAUAGGGUAAGUGUAUAUUUAACUUUAUAAGAAAAUGCUAAGUUGUUUUCCAGAAGAGCUCUACUAUUUGCAUUCCCACCAGAAAU